rnacentral:rRNA from 1 species
GAAUUUUGGGCAAUGGGGGAAACCCUGACCCAGCAACGCCGCGUGAAGGAUGAAGUAUUUCGGUAUGUAAACUUCGAAAGAAUAGGAAGAAUUAAUGACGGUACUAUUUAUAAGGUCCGGCUAACUACGUGCCAGCAGCCGCGGUAAUACGUAGGGACCAAGCGUUGUUCGGAUUUACUGGGCGUAAAGGGCGCGUAGGCGGCAUUGUUAGUCACUUGUGAAAUCUCCGGGCUUAACCCGGAACGGCCAAGUGAUACUGCAGUGCUAGAGUGCGGAAGGGGCAAUCGGAAUUCUUGGUGUAGCGGUGAAAUGCGUAGAUAUCAAGAGGAACACCUGAGGUGAAGACGGGUUGCUGGGCCGACACUGACGCUGAGGUGCGAAAGCGUGGGGAGCAAACAGG